rnacentral:rRNA from 1 species
AAUGAACGUUGGCGGCGUGGAUUAGGCAUGCAAGUCGAGCGAGAAUCCCCGCAAGGGAGGGAAAGCGGCGAAAGGGAGAGGAACACGUGGAUCAUCUGCCCUCAGGACUGGGAUAGCCACGGGAAACUGUGGGUAAUACCAGAUGACGUCUUCGGACCAAAGGUGUGAGUCCGCCUGAGGAUGAGUUCGCGUCCUAUUAGCUUGUUGGUAGGGUAACGGCCUACCAAGGCCANGAUGGGUACCGGGGUGUGAGAGCAUGGCCCGGCUCACUGGGACUGAGACACUGCCCAGACACCUACGGGUGGCUGCAGUCGAGGAUCUUCGGCAAUGGGGCAAAGCCUGACCGAGCGACGCCGCGUGCGGA